GCUAACUAUGCUAGGCUGGACAGUUACGAUCAUCAUCAGAACCCAAUGCAUAAACCUCAUCAAUGUUAGCAGCAUGGACCAACAAUAUAUUUUCUCUAGAGCACUGACAUUAUCAAAGGAAACAACCUGCCAAGUAAGACAAAGUUAAACAAAUUAUUAUUACAAUACCAAAAAAGGGGGGUCUUGAUUCAAUAUACUAAAAUAGAGACAUCAAAUUGGCCUAAGGUUCGGAAUACAAGGGGGUCUUGAUUAAAUAUACUAAAAUAGAGACAUCAAAUUGGCCUAAGGUUCAGAAUACAUAACAUGAAAAAUAAAACUAUAAGCAUAAGACUUGCAAUAAUUACUUUACGUUCAUUUUGCUUUAAGCACACAUAGGUAAAAUCCAUACAAAGAAUCAAUGCGUCAAAAGUUUCUUUCCAGUAUCAAGUCAAGUGCCCACAGAAGGGAAAAAGAAAACAAGCUCAUCUUAGAUUUAGGUACUCAAAUAAUAGCCGAUAAAGAAAGGUUCUACCCUGUCCCUAUCUUAUGUGCCGCGUAACUUUUUCCUAAUUAGUAUUGAUCAGUGGCGGAUCUACACAUGAAAAAGAAAACAAGCUCAUCAUAGAUUUAGGUACUCAAAUAAUAGCCGAUAAAGAAAGGUUCUACUUCUGGAGUUCGGCCCCUGUUAACGGAAAGGGGAUCAGCUGAAUCCCUGAAACGCCACUCUACUUCUUGAGAUUCAAUCCCGACCGAAUAUGAAUAGUAAUUCGUUUACUCUCUAUUCAUUUUAAUUGAUGUUGGGGUUUUUCUUCAACUGCAUCUAUCUGGGCUUCUCAGUAUUCAGUUCUGCGGGUCCUGCUUCCUCUGAGAACGAACAAACGAAGAAAAGUGGGCGUAGGUGAGGCCACAGAAACAUGGUCUACAUCCAUAGAUUCGUACUGAUUUUUGCUCUUGUUCUUUCCCUCAAAGUGUGGCUUCUACUAAUUGUACUCCCAUCCGCCUAGUUUUGCUCCCAUAGAGUUUCUAUUUACAAAGGCGGAUGUUUUACCUAUGUGUGCCCUAGGUUAAAUUAUUAAGAGGUAUUUAGCGACGGAUUUAGCUAUGCCUCCAUUUCGUUCGCCA
rnacentral:lncRNA from 1 species